UGAGCUGGGGGUGGCCGCAGAGACCAGCGAGAAGCGACUGUUUACUAAAAACACAGGUCCGUGCGAAGCCGUAAGGCGAUGUAUACGGACUGACGCCUGCCCGGUGCUGGAACGUUAAGGGGACCGGUUAGUGCACUUUCGGGUGUGCGAAGCUGAGAACUUAAGCGCCAGUAAACGGCGGUGGUAACUAUAACCAUCCUAAGGUAGCGAAAUUCCUUGUCGGGUAAGUUCCGACCUGCACGAAUGGCGUAACGACUUCUCGACUGUCUCAACCAUAGGCCCGGUGAAAUUGCACUACGAGUAAAGAUGCUCGUUUCGCGCAGCAGGACGGAAAGACCCCGGGACCUUUACUAUAGUUUGAUAUUGGUGUUCGGUUCGGCUUGUGUAGGAUAGGUGGGAGACUUUGAAGCGGCCACGCCAGUGGUUGUGGAGUCGUCGUUGAAAUACCACUCUGGUCGUGCUGGAUGUCUAACCUGGGUCCGUGAUCCGGAUCAGGGACAGUGUCUGAUGGGUAGUUUAACUGGGGCGGUUGCCUCCUAAAGAGUAACGGAGGCGCCCAAAGGUUCCCUCAGCCUGGUUGGCAAUCAGGUGUUGAGUGUAAGUGCACAAGGGAGCUUGACUGUGAGACCGACGGGUCGAGCAGGGACGAAAGUCGGGACUAGUGAUCCGGCAGUGGCUUGUGGAAGCGCUGUCGCUCAACGGAUAAAAGGUACCCCGGGGAUAACAGGCUGAUCUUCCCCAAGAGUCCAUAUCGACGGGAUGGUUUGGCACCUCGAUGUCGGCUCGUCGCAUCCUGGGGCUGGAGUCGGUCCCAAGGGUUGGGCUGUUCGCCCAUUAAAGCGGUACGCGAGCUGGGUUUAGAACGUCGUGAGACAGUUCGGUCCCUAUCCGCUGUGCGCGUAGGAAUAUUGAGAAGGGCUGUCCCUAGUACGAGAGGACCGGGACGGACGAACCUCUGGUGUGCCAGUUGUUCUGCCAAGGGCAUGGCUGGUUGGCUACGUUCGGAAAGGAUAACCGCUGAAAGCAUCUAAGCGGGAAGCCUGCUUCGAGAUGAGUGUUCCCACCACCUUGAGUGGUUAAGGCUCCCAGUAGACGACUGGGUUGAUAGGCCAGAUGUGGAAGCCCGGUAACGGGUGGAGCUGACUGGUACUAAUAGGCCGAGGGCUUGUCCUC
rnacentral:rRNA from 1 species